UACGUAGGGACCAAGCGUUAUUCGGAUUCACUGGGCGUAAAGGGUGCGCAGGCGGCCAAGUGUGUGAGGCGUGAAAGCCCGGGGCUUAACCCCGGAAUUGCACCUCAAACUACUUGGCUAGAGCAUUGGAGAGGGUAGCAGAAUUCAUGGUGUAGCAGUGAAAUGCGUAGAUAUCCUGAGGAAUACCAGUGGCGAAGGCGGCACGCUGGGCCAUAACUGACGCUAAGACGCGAAAGCAUGGGUAGCGAACGGG
rnacentral:rRNA from 1 species